UACGUAGGGUGCGAGCGUUAAUCGGAAUUACUGGGCGUAAAGCGUGCGCAGGCGGUGAGCUGUGUCCGAUGUGAAAGCCCCGGGCUUAACCUGGGAAUGGCAUUGGAAACUGGCUCGCUGGAGUGUGGCAGAGGGGGUGGAAUUCCGCGUGUAGCAGUGAAAUGCGUAGAGAUGCGGAGGAACACCGAUGGCGAAGGCAGCCCCCUGGGCUAACACUGACGCUCAGGCACGAAAGCGUGGGAGCGAUCCGG
rnacentral:rRNA from 1 species